rfam:Camelus ferus unplaced genomic scaffold scaffold1134, whole genome shotgun sequence.
GAGGGUAUAGCUCAGUGGUAGAGUGUGUGCCUAGCAUGCCCGAGGUCCUGGGUUCAAUCCCCAGCAUCGCCA